CAUUCAUGUGCAUAUUUUCGUGAGGAUGUAGUUUUCAUUUCACUUGAGUAAAUGCAAAGCAGUGAGAUUGCUGGGUCAUACAAUCUCGUCCAGAAGUAAUAUACGUCAAGAAAGAAGAGAUUAUAAAUGUCUAGCAGGGACUGUUAGAAAUAUAUUUGGUGCCCUUGAUGAUUUCUCAAUCAAGACAGGGAACACUGAGGUACAACCACAUAGAGCAUCGGAGCUGCUACGGUAAAGGGGAAGGAGAGAUUCCUACUCUGGUUGAUGACACUGGAUCCUUGCAAGCUGGACAUCUCGGAACAACAGACACAGCUGUUCAACCUCAGAGCUUCUAGACUUCCCAUGUUCCAAGUCCACUUCUGCCGGCAGAAUAGAAACCUCGUCAGUUAUCACAACUCACAAACACCAAAAUCCUAGUUUCGCCAUGAACACUGAAAUUAUGAACUACUUCAAAAUAAUAGCUUCCGUGGUGACCAGAGCAACAAAUUUUACUAGGUUUGCCUUGAAGAUUUGAAAUAUCCACAGCACCUACGUGAAUUUGCUGUGGUGCCCCAGGCUCUACCUCACUGCACAGUUUGGAAACCACAGCUUUCAGUUGUCUUCUUUUUUUAAAAUUAUUUUUAUUUUUUGAGAUGGAGUCUUGCUCUGUCAACCAGGCUGGAGUGCAGUGGCGCGAUCUCCACCUGCUGGGUUCAAGCAAUUCUUGUGCCUCAGCCUUCCAAGUAGCUGGGGUUACAGGAGCCCACCGCAACGCCUGGUUAAUUUUUGUAUUUUUAGUAGAGACUGGGUUUUGCCCUGUCGGCCAGGCUAGUCUCGAACUCCUGUCCUCAAGUGAUCCACCCACCUCAGCCUCCCAAAGUGCUGGGAUUACAAUGUGAGCUACCGUGCCCAGCCUCAGUUGUCUUCUGACUCUGAGAAGUUAAGAUUCAACUGAUUUUUAAACUUGAGGUUUGAAAUUCCUUACUAUCCACUUUUGGGACCCACUGCACUAUCAGAGAAAAGCAAGAGUAUCAGAAACACAGGUGACUGUGGAUGGAAGAGCAGUAAGCAGUUGAAGUACUUUGCUGUUUUUCCCGUAGGGGAGGACAAAUGGAUUCCUGAGGUGCAGGGCAAUCAACAGAUGAGAUCCAAGAGUCAGAACCCUGGAAUGGACCACCAGAACUUUCCCAUGGAGCCCCAGGACUUCUUCCCCCAAUUCCUGCUGUUUCUCCUCCUCCCUGUAGCAGGCUUCUUAAAGCAGGUAGUUUGACCUGCUGAGCAUCACAUUGCAUAAAACAAUGCCGGAAGACUUGAGCAAUGGUGACUUACCAAGACAGCUGGCUGCCUAUGUUUAUGGCAUUUGGAAUCCACCGGGAACACAUACAUUUGUCACAGUGUGUUCCCGAAAUAAAUGAGGCUGUCUCCCAACUGGCCCCAUAUAAUCAACGCAGCCCAGCCCCACAUAGCUACUCCAAUGAAUAAUGCUUUGUUUGCCAAAUGCAAUGGGAACCUACCACAGGCCAGGGUGCUUCCAACAACAACAACAACAAGAAACUAAAGACAGUAAGGGAGAAAGAGUGGGUAUAAGCACUUAUCAAUACAUCAGACUGGAAACUCCUAGAAUGGAAUUAUUAGAUGCAUGUAUUAUUUGGGAGCAUUAUGACCAGGAAUAUUAAUAAAACUGUGAAUAGUAUGUAUUCUUUUCAUAAUUUUGACUUAGGGAAGAGGGCAAAAAAAUAACUGUAGCUAGUUUUAGACAUCCAUAAACAAAAUUCUGUAUUACUUUCAGGUAAGACAAGAGCAAUGACAACACAGCACCACAAGCCUUGCCUGGGGUAGAGAGAUAUUAUACAAGGGAAACUGUUUAUUUGUUAGAGAAUCAUACUCAUAAUUCCCUUAAGAGUCUCUUAAUUAAUUCCCCUAAUUAGAACUUUAAUGGGUCUCCCUUUUCAUUUUCUAACAUCUUACACUGGCUACAUCAUUGAAAUAGAAUGAAAAGAAUAAACCUCUCUGCUAUUUUUUUUUAAGGUUGGC
rnacentral:lncRNA from 1 species